rnacentral:rRNA from 1 species
UACGUAGGGGGCGAGCGUUGUCCGGAUUUAUUGGGCGUAAAGAGCUCGUAGGCCGUUCGGUAAGUCAGAUGUGAAAACUCCAGGCUCAACUUGGAGAGGCCAUCUGAUACUGCUGUGACUAGAGUCCGGUAGGGGAGCACGGAAUUCCUGGCGUAGCGGUGAAAUGCGCAGAUAUCAGGAGGAACACCAGCGGCGAAGGCGGCUUCCUGGCCUAGUACUGACGCUGAGGCGCGAAAGCUAGGGGAGCAAACGGG